CCUACGGGUGGCAGCAGUGAGGAAUAUUGGUCAAUGGACGGAAGUCUGAACCAGCCAUGCCGCGUGCAGGAAGACGGCUCUAUGAGUUGUAAACUGCUUUUGUACAAGGGUAAACCUGAAUACGUGUAUUCAGCUGAAAGUACUGUACGAAUAAGGAUCGGCUAACUCCGUGCCAGCAGCCGCGGUAAUACGGAGGAUCCAAGCGUUAUCCGGAUUUAUUGGGUUUAAAGGGUGCGUAGGCGGAUUGAUAAGUUAGAGGGGAAAUGUCCGAGCUUAACUUGGGAAUUGCCUCUAAUACUGUUGAUCUAGAGAGUAGAUGCGGUAGGCGGAAUGUAUGGUGUAGCGGUGAAAUGCUUAGAGAUCAUACAGAACACCGAUUGCGAAGGCAGCUUACCAAUCUAUAUCUGACGUUGAGGCACGAAAGCGUGGGGAGCAAACAGGAUUAGAUACCCCAGUAGUC
rnacentral:rRNA from 1 species